UUGGAGGGCAAGUCUGGUGCCAGCAGCCGCGGUAAUUCCAGCUCCAAUAGCGUAUAUUAAAGUUGUUGCAGUUAAAAAGCUCGUAGUUGAAUUUCGGGAUCAAUAUAUUGGUCGUGCCUCUGGUAUGCACUGGUAUUAUUGAUUUCUACCUUCUGACGAACUGUGAUGUCAUUAAUUUGGUGUCAUGGGGAAUCAGGACUGUUACUUUGAAAAAAUUAGAGUGUUUAAAGCAGGCACACGCUUGAAUACAUUAGCAUGGAAUAAUGAAAUAGGACGUUUGACCCUAUUUUGUUGGUUUCUAGGAUCGACGUAAUGAUUAAUAGGGAUAGUUGGGGGCAUUAGUAUUCAAUUGUCAGAGGUGAAAUUCUUGGAUUUAUUGAAGACUAACUACUGCGAAAGCAUUUGCCAAGGAUGUUUUCAUUAAUCAAGAACGAACGUUAGGGGAUCGAAGACGAUCAGAUACCGUCGUAGUCUUAACCAUAAACUAUGCCGACUAGGGAUCGGAUGAUGUUAAUUUUUUAAUGACUCAUUCGGCGCCUUACGGGAAAC
rnacentral:rRNA from 1 species